rnacentral:tRNA from 1 species
GGGAAAGUGGCGGAACUGGCAGACGCGAGGGACUUAAAAUCCCUUGGGGGCAACCCCGUGAGGGUUCGAUUCCCUCCUUUCCCA